UGAAUGUUAACUGGCAAUAACUCAAGAAAUGGCGUGUUUAGCAUACCAGUGGUGAGAUGCCAGGGUUGUGAUCACCAAUGGUGAAUUAUAAUGUUUUACUUUGAGUCAGAAUUCCAAAGAAGAAGAAAGGAAUUCCUCAGUGAUAUAGGAUAAUUUUAUAACUGAUGCAUCAUCAAGUUUCUUGUUAAUGGGACAUGGAUGAAUCUGGAAACCACAUUUCUCAGCAAACUGAUGCAAGAACAGAAAACCAAACACUGCAUGUUCUCACUUAUAGAUUCUCAAUCCAGCCUAACCUUGAGGUGUUAAGAACCACUGUCUGGGAAGAGGUGCUUUCUGUAUAUUUUUCCAAAUGAUCUGAUAGUA
rnacentral:lncRNA from 13 species